rnacentral:tRNA from 1 species
GGCUUGGUAGCUCAGUCGGUAGAGCAGCGGACUGAAAAUCCGCGUGUCGGCGGUUCGAUUCCGCCCCAAGCCACCA